AUACUUACUUGGCAGGGGAAAUACCAUGAUCACAGGGAGUGGUUUUCCAGGGUGAGGCUCAUCCAUUGCACUGUGGGUGUGCUGACCCCUGCAAUUUCUCCAAAUGUGGGAAACUCAACUGCAUAAUUUGAUGGUAGUGGGGGACUGUGUGUGCGCUGUCCCCUG